UUGGUAAUUUCUUAUAAAAAGAAAAAUUGCUUUGAAAUUGAUACAAAACUAUGGAUAUUUAAUUACAGAAAGUCUAGAGUAAAACAGUUUUUCUUCUUGGUGUGACAUUCUCAAAAUAUAUUCCUGGUUUUCCAAGAAGCAGAGAAUGCCAAGACUGUAUACCUGCUGUAACCUUUCUGGUCCUCAUUCUGCUUUAUAUGCUCAUAGGAUACAAUCUGUUCCUACUUUAUCCACCAUUUCCAGUUUGUACCUGUGAACCUACCUUGGAAGAAGCAAGUAAAGUGAUUUUUUUUCUCCAUUAUUUUUAUACCAAUCCUGAAAGACCAGGCCUUUUGCAGUCAAUGUGUUUAAACUGGGUUGUGUUAUUUGGUUACUUAUGGAACAUACAUUUUGAUAAUAUUUCACUCCAAUAAAUUAAGACUUUGAGUGCCAAGAAUUGCUAAGUAACUGUAACAUUGAAAAGUCACUCCCAAGUAAACAUACGUUCUAAAAUAGUAAAUUUGUUAUAUAACCACUUCAGAUUGUACACUUAACUUUUUUUUUUUUUCAACUCAUGUAGACCCUUUCAGAAGUUGAUUCAGAAUAUGGUCAUGGUCACCUUAGUGGAUUUUGUUCCCUCGUUUUGGUCAUGUGAGUUCAAUAUUUUUAAAAUUUCGUAUUUAUACUAAUACGCUUUGGGAAAGGCUGUAAACUCAAUUUUGGCACAUUGUAGAGGUUUCAGUUAAUGAAGUUGUUAUUUUUAUCCUAAGGACUUUAAGGUAUCCUAUAUAAGAUAUGAGAGGGCAUAACAGAUCAUUAGAUGGGUAGAAAUUUAUUAAAAUCUUUAGAUAUUAUGAAUGAGAAAAAAUUUUUUUACAGGAAUUACAUUUGUGUUUUUUGCCAAACCAGACAAGCAAGAAAAUAUGCCUAGGACUGAAUAACCUCCCUUGUUCUUUUUGCCACUGGAUUAUCACAAGUGUAUUCUUGUAAAGAAUAAAAAUCAUGUUUGCUGUAACGAGCUAGGGUUAGCCCAGCCAACCUCGG
rnacentral:lncRNA from 1 species